rnacentral:rRNA from 1 species
CCUACGGGAGGCAGCAGUGAGGAAUUUUCCGCAAUGGGCGAAAGCCUGACGCAGCGACGCCGCGUGGGCGAGGAAGGCCUUCGGGUUGUAAAGCUCUUUCGGCAGGAACGAAACGGCGGACUCUAACAUAGUCUGUCAAUGACGGUACCUGAAGAAGAAGCACCGGCUAACUACGUGCCAGCAGCCGCGGUAAUACGUAGGGUGCGAGCGUUAAUCGGAAUUACUGGGCGUAAAGCGUGCGCAGGCGGCUUUGUAAGACGGAUGUAAAAUCCCUGGGCUUAACCUAGGAACUGCGUUCGUGACUGCAAAGCUAGAGUGUGGCAGAGGGGGGUGGAAUUCCUGGUGUAGCAGUGAAAUGCGUAGAGAUCAGGAGGAACACCGAUGGCGAGGGCAGCCCCCUGGGUUGGCACUGACGCUCAUGCACGAAAGCGGGGGGAGCAAACAGGAUUAGAUCCCCCUGUAGU